rnacentral:lncRNA from 1 species
CUUUGUUGUGGGGUUUGCAGGCUUUGUCCCCUCCUAGGAGCAGUGCCCCUUUCUUCAGGCUUCAACCCCUCGGAGAGAACUUGCAUCGUGGUCACCAAGCACUGAGUCUCAAAGCUGAACCAGGGAACUCUUCCUAAGGCUCUCCAUGCUGGCCGUGCUCUGCAUCCUGACGCGUCCUCAUCGGCACACCAGGGCAGCACCAGAAGAGCUACUGCAGCCUUUGGAGAGGAGUGGGCAUCUUGCAGUCUUCUUGCCCGUUGCGCUCCAAGCACAUUAGUCCCAAAGCCAUGCUCUCCAAAGGACUUUCAAGCAUCAUUUAAACUCGUCUCAGACCAGCUCCCUGGACUCGUCUGCUGCCAUGAGAGGUCUCAGCCAAGGAUUUGGAGCCAAGAUAUGAGGGAAAUGGCUUAA